rnacentral:tRNA from 1 species
GGAGGAUUGGCCGAGUGGUAAGGCACUGGCUUGGCUCAAGCCGUGGUCGGGCGCAAGAGCCCGCGCACGUUCGAUCCGUGCAUCCUCCG